CAUUCUCUGUCUCAGAGGGCAGUGUUUGGUGUCAAAUGAGCCCUGAAGAUUCUCUGAGUUCCUCUUCAUACCAACUGGUAGAGAUCUAUCAAUUCUCUUAACCACAUGGAAGGACAUGAGACUGUGGCAUGUUGCAGAGAAUCUUCUACUGUGAAGGAAAUCCAGCUCACACCACUUGUCCAACCAACUCCCAGGAAAAGCAUGUCAGUUUACACUGAGAUGGAGGAACGCUGAAAAGCAUAACAGUAUCAGACUUUGGGAUGUAAUUAAGCCUGGAGGCAAAUCCAGGAUCGGUGCGGAUGAAGGAGUCACAGAUCAGGAAGAAGGAUGGGAAAAGGAGCCAAAAAACCUUACCCUCGGGUUAGAGAGUCUACACAAGAGAAGCGUCCUGUCUUGCCAAUACAGUGUCUAUCCAGGGACAAUGCGGAUGAACCUUUAACAUUUAUUUACUGUCUAAAUCUAAUAAAAACAAGGAGAAAGAUGCCUACAGAAAAAGCCAGCAGGUUCAGAGAUGGAGGAAGGGAAGCUGAAAGGAGUUGACAUUCUAGACAAGAGGAGCCCGGAGCCAGGUUGCCUGAGAAAUCAAAAGGGUACAUCAGUGAGAAGGCAAGCCAUGGAGCCUAGCGUGCCAAGCGGUCCAGCUUUGGUCUUUUGCACUGUAAACCUUCGAUCUAUCUGAGAAAUGUGCUUGUUGGUCUGACCUCCUGGAUGAUGCUGCGAAGGUUCUGGUGCUGGGAGUGGAUCACGAACUGCAAAUGGGAGAUCUGCUCCUGGAGGAUGGAAAUCUCCGUUUGAAGAUCCUGGCAACUGGAAAUGCACACAAAGGAGUUGGGAGUGAAAAUAGGCUGGAUAUGGAUUCUCCGUAGAAACAUUUAUACUCGUCUGAUUGGAACAGAGCAGACUGUAAACUCUCAGCCAGCUCAUCGUUCCUGAAGUUCAUGUUCAAGGGACGGCUACCGAUGCAUUGGUUCACAUCAACAUCAGAUUUGAGUUCUCUCUGGGAUUCAGCAAGCAAGUUUGUUACCAGGGCAAAGGAACCUUGAUAGGACACUUCAUGAUCACACCAAGGACCAUGGACUCUUGGAUCUUCAGACAGUCCGAACUGAAAAUGAAAGAAGCCCCAAACUAGACAGUCUGCAAUUCUUGGGAUUCGGGAAGGCUGGGGACAGGCAAACAGGUCAGCUGACAUCUCAGGGGGAUGGAUACACAGACUCUGGAGAGGGAGAACUGUUGAAGAGAUUUGGAGCCCACCAAGUGCAUACAGGGACUCCAAGGAGAAAUCAGACAAGCCUAGGUACAAAGCAAGUCAUAGAAGAUGUCUAAGGAGAGAAGCAGAAUUGUGAAGGAUACCCUUCCCCAAACUAAAACUGCAAGGGAAACUUUCAACCUGCCAUUCCAUGCCCCUUUCUAGAACCCCGUGACAAUGGCAUGCCUUUACUUCUCGGACUUACGUUUUCCAUCCUCUGUACACGGUUUUCCAGCCCUACGAUUUGCCCAUGUUUUUCCUCCAGUUUUUCUGAAAGUAGAUUCAGACUUUCGGCGCUUCCCUUUAAUGCCUGCUCUUUCUCAAGGUUGUUGACCUGUGGUCAGAAAAACAGUUGCUAGACUUCUGUUUUGACUCUUUAUCUAAAACAAAACCCACAACGUCUUGUAUAUCCAAUUAAAAAAGUGUUUUCUUUUCUUAUCAGAAAAGGAGCUGCUGAUCUUUUCUUCUCAUGUUUUCCAUGAGCAAAUCCAGACAGGUGGGGUCUGUGGUGGAGUCUGAGCCAUUCUGAAUAUUUCCAGAUCCCUGAAAGGAACAAACACAGAAAUCUUCAAGCCAACUCUCCCUUUCUUCUGUGAGCAUUGGCAAUAAUGAUAACCAUUCCCUACAGAAGCCAGAGAGGACUCAAGCCAGCAAAAAGAACUCUUUGAAUCCCAACUUUCAAUGGUUAAUUCUAGAUAAACAAGCUAGCUUCUGAGUCUGCUCAAAUUUACACAGUCUUAUAAGGACAUGCAUCCUUUCUGCACUUUAUACUUCCUACUGCUUUUAAAUAGUUAUGCAUGUGCAUAUAUAUAUAUGUAUUUAUGUAUGUAUAUGUGUGUAAUAUACAUAUAUGUGUGUGUAUAUAUAUCUCACAUAUGAAUCAUAACCAUGAGACUGGAUUAAUUAAAGUCAUACCUAUCAGUAUAUUUUGAUUAAACAGAACCGGAUAGGGCAUCCUUCUGUGUAAGGGAGGUUUGGAGAUAGAGAGAGUCAGAAGAACAAGCAAGGCUGUGUGAGGGAAGAAGUC
rnacentral:lncRNA from 1 species